rnacentral:sRNA from 1 species
AAGCGGGGAAGGAUGAGAAGCUUCGACCAAGGUUCGACUUGAGCGCCAGCGAGAGAGCGUUGCCGCAGGCAACGACCCGAAGGGCGAAGCGCGCAGCGCUGAGUAAUCCUUCCCCCACCACCA